UACGAAGGGGGCUAGCGUUGCUCGGAAUUACUGGGCGUAAAGAGCGUGUAGGCGGCCUUACAGGUCAGCUGUGAAAACUCGAGGCUCAACCUCGAGACGUCGGUUGAAACCGUAUGGCUAGAGUCCGGAAGAGGAGAGUGGAAUUCCCGGUGUAGCGGUGAAAUGCGCAGAUAUCGGGAAGAACACCCGUGGCGAAGGCGGCUCUCUGGGACGGUACUGACGCUGAGACGCGAAAGCGUGGGGAGCGAACAGG
rnacentral:rRNA from 1 species